rnacentral:rRNA from 1 species
AACGAACGCUGGCGGCGUGCCUAAUACAUGCAAGUCGAACGAGAUAGUACCUUCGGGUAUGUGUAAGUGGCAAACGGGUGAGUAAUACUUAGGUAACCUACCUUCUUGAUGGGGAUAACCUUCCGAAAGGAGGGCUAUACCGAAUGAGACCACAGGGACCACGGUCCAAGGGGUUAAGAUGGCCUCUAUUUAUAAGCUAUCGCAGGAAGAUGGGCUUAAGCACCAUCAG